UUUGCAGGGAGCUGGUAAGUCGCCUACAGGAGCGAAAUGUUCAGGUUUUCCUAAUAUCUGGUGGCUUUAGGAGUAUUAUAGAGCAUGUUGCUUCAAAGCUCAAUAUCCCAGCAACCAAUGUAUUUGCCAGUAGGCUGAAAUUCUACCUUAAUGGAUGCUUUCAUUGGAUUUGGAGGAAAUGUGAUCAGGCAACAAGUCAAGGAUAACGCCAAAUGGUAUAUCACUGAUUUUGUAGAGCUGCUGGGAGAACCGGAAGAAUAACAUCCAUUGUCAUACAGCUCCAAACAACUUCAGAUGAAUUUUUACAAGUUACACAGAUUGAUACUGUUUGCUUACAAUUGCCUAUUACAACUUGCUAUAGAAAGUUGGUACAGAUGAUCUGCACUGUCAAGUAAACUACAGUUAGGAAUCCUCAAAGAUUGGUUUGUUUGUUUUUAACUGUAGUUCCAGUAUUAUAUGAUCACUAUCGAUUUCCUGGAGAGUUUUGUAAUCUGAAUUCUUUAUGUAUAUUCCUAGCUAUAUUUCAUACAAAGUGUUUUAAGAGUGGAGAGUCAAUUAAACACCUUUACUCUUAGGAAUAUAGAUUCGGCAGCCUUCAGUGAAUAUUGGUUUUUUUCCCUUUGGUAUGUCAAUAAAAGUUUAUCCAUGUGUCAGAACAGAUUUGUGGAAUUUGCAGUUCUGCCUCUUGGAUAUUGGAAUAUCCAAUAUUUCAGGAUGCUUGCUCUUUGAACUCAGCCAUCAUGCUGUGAGGAAGCCCAGAUCACAAGGAGAGGCCACAUUUUGAUGUUCCAGUCAACAGUCCCAGCACAGGUUUCAGAUGACAGCCAACAUCAGUUGCCAGACAUGAGACUGAAGAAGGCUUUGUGAAGACUCCAGCCCCAGCCACUACAACAGCAUGAGAGACCCCAAGUGAAAAUCACCUGCCUGAACCCAUCAACUCCCAGAACCAUGAAAAUAAAAAACUUUUUUUU
rnacentral:lncRNA from 1 species